GAUGAACGCUGGCGGCGUGCCUAAUACAUGCAAGUCGAGCGAACGGACGAGAAGCUUGCUUCUCUGAUGUUAGCGGCGGACGGGUGAGUAACACGUGGAUAACCUACCUAUAAGACUGGGAUAACUUCGGGAAACCGGAGCUAAUACCGGAUGAUAUUUUGAACCGCAUGGUUCAAAAGUGAAAGACGGUCUUGCUGUCACUUAUAGAUGGAUCCGCGCUGCAUUAGCUAGUUGGUAAGGUAACGGCUUACCAAGGCAACGAUGCAUAGCCGACCUGAGAGGGUGAUCGGCCACACUGGAACUGAGACACGGUCCAGACUCCUACGGGAGGCAGCAGUAGGGAAUCUUCCGCAAUGGGCGAAAGCCUGACGGAGCAACGCCGCGUGAGUGAUGAAGGUCUUCGGAUCGUAAAACUCUGUUAUUAGGGAAGAACAUAUGUGUAAGUAACUGUGCACAUCUUGACGGUACCUAAUCAGAAAGCCACGGCUAACUACGUGCCAGCAGCCGCGGUAAUACGUAGGUGGCAAGCGUUAUCCGGAAUUAUUGGGCGUAAAGCGCGCGUAGGCGGUUUUUUAAGUCUGAUGUGAAAGCCCACGGCUCAACCGUGGAGGGUCAUUGGAAACUGGAAAACUUGAGUGCAGAAGAGGGAAGUGGAAUUCCAUGUGUAGCGGUGAAAUGCGCAGAGAUAUGGAGGAACACCAGUGGCGAAGGCGACUUUCUGGUCUGUAACUGACGCUGAUGUGCGAAAGCGUGGGGAUCAAACAGGAUUAGAUACCCUGGUAGUCCACGCCGUAAACGAUGAGUGCUAAGUGUUAGGGGGUUUCCGCCCCUUAGUGCUGCAGCUAACGCAUUAAGCACUCCGCCUGGGGAGUACGACCGCAAGGUUGAAACUCAAAGGAAUUGACGGGGACCCGCACAAGCGGUGGAGCAUGUGGUUUAAUUCGAAGCAACGCGAAGAACCUUACCAAAUCUUGACAUCCUUUGACAACUCUAGAGAUAGAGCCUUCCCCUUCGGGGGACAAAGUGACAGGUGGUGCAUGGUUGUCGUCAGCUCGUGUCGUGAGAUGUUGGGUUAAGUCCCGCAACGAGCGCAACCCUUAAGCUUAGUUGCCAUCAUUAAGUUGGGCACUCUAAGUUGACUGCCGGUGACAAACCGGAGGACGGUGGGGAUGACGUCAAAUCAUCAUGCCCCUUAUGAUUUGGGCUACACACGUGCUACAAUGGACAAUACAAAGGGCAGCGAAACCGCGAGGUCAAGCAAAUCCCAUAAAGUUGUUCUCAGUUCGGAUUGUAGUCUGCAACUCGACUACAUGAAGCUGGAAUCGCUAGUAAUCGUAGAUCAGCAUGCUACGGUGAAUACGUUCCCGGGUCU
rnacentral:rRNA from 1 species